GUUCAUGGAUCCUGGACUUCUUUUCAGUUGGGGAUUUCAGGCCUAGACACUAACAGCUUGGGAUCUGAUCAUUUAUGCUGCCUUCGCUCCAAAUGGGGAGUUCAUUGGUUAAAUGGAACUGGCUAUCUGGUGGAGAAGGCCUAACAGGCCAAAGAUUGAGUAGUGGGCAAGGAAGGCGUUCUCUGAAGGGGUUUCCAUUCAGACCCUUGUACCUGUGUGCUUUUCAAUAAAGCAAUUCUUGGCUUAUCUGGACCAGUUCCAAAGUCUCCUGCAGAUCAUAAUAGCAACCACCAGUGCUGCUGUUGAGUGACCAGGACUUAACCACUCCCGUGGCUGGACCAACAGUGUGGAACGUCCAAACCUGGCAUUCAAGCCGUCAAUCAAGAAGCCGCCUCUUGUACAUUUGUCAAAGAUGUCCCAGUGUCGGCAAGUGCAGCCUCACAUUACACCCUCUGAGCUAAGAAAACACAGCCCUGUGUUUCUGAAAGGCUUCUUGGCUGCAGUUUGACAUAAGGCACACUGUGUGUACACCCCUGACUAAACUAUCCCAAUUUCUCAACUGAUCUUUUAAGCUUCAUUGUGACAAGAAAACCUGCUUUGCUAUACAAAUUGAUGACUUAGGAAAGAUGAAGUUCUAAAACUAUGUUUGUAUUUAUUGGUUAAUUUGCAUAAAUAUUUAGAGGAAGAAGAAUGCUACCCAAUUAUGGCUAAUUAUGCUUCAUCAUGCAGAGUGCAAUUGAAAACCACGCUUCAGUGGUUUUGUAUU